GACGAACGCUGGCGGCGUGCCUAAUACAUGCAAGUGGGACGCAAGGAAACACACUGUGCUUGCACACCGUGUUUUCUUGAGUCGCGAACGGGUGAGUAACGCGUAGGUAACCUGCCUAUUAGCGGGGGAUAACUAUUGGAAACGAUAGCUAAUACCGCAUAAUAUUAAUUAUUGCAUGAUAAUUGAUUGAAAGAUGCAAGCGCAUCACUAGUAGAUGGACCUGCGUUGUAUUAGCUAGUUGGUAAGGUAAGAGCUUACCAAGGCGACGAUACAUAGCCGACCUGAGAGGGUGAUCGGCCAAACUGGGACUGAGACACGGCCCAGACUCCUACGGGAGGCAGCAGUAGGGAAUCUUCGGCAAUGGACGAAAGUCUGACCGAGCAACGCCGCGUGAGUGAAGAAGGUUUUCGGAUCGUAAAGCUCUGUUGUAAGUCAAGAACGUGUGUGAGAGUGGAAAGUUCACACAGUGACGGUAGCUUACCAGAAAGGGACGGCUAACUACGUG
rnacentral:rRNA from 1 species